rnacentral:rRNA from 1 species
UACGUAGGCAGCAAGCGUUGUUCGGAAUUACUGGGCGUAAAGAGUGUGUAGGCGGUGCUCUAAGUUUGGUGUGAAAUCUCCCGGCUCAACUGGGAGGGUGCAUCGAAUACUGGGGUGCUCGAGGGUGGGAGAGGUAAGCGGAAUUCCUGGUGUAGCGGUGAAAUGCGUAGAUAUCAGGAGGAACACCUGUGGUGUAGACAGCUUACUGGACCACUUCUGACGCUGAGACACGAAAGCGUGGGUAGCAAACAGG